UCGGGAAUUUUGGGCAAUGGGCGAAAGCCUGACCCAGCAACGCCGCGUGAAGGAUGAAAUCUUUCGGGAUGUAAACUUCGGAAGAAUAGGAAGAAUAAAAUGACGGUACUAUUUUUAAGGUCCGGCCAACUACGUGCCAGCAGCCGCGGUGACACGUAGGCACCAAGCGUUGUCCGGAUUUAUUGGGCGUAAAGAGCUCGUAGGCGGUUCAGUAAGUCGGGUGUGAAAACUUUGGGCUUAACCCAAAGCGUGCAUCCGAUACUGCUGUGACUUGAGUACGGUAGGGGAGCGGGGAAUUCCUAGUGUAGCGGUGAAAUGCGCAGAUAUUAGGAGGAACACCGGUGGCGAAGGCGCCGCUCUGGGCCGAAACUGACGCUGAGGAGCGAAAGCAUGGGUAGCAAACAGGAUUAGAUACCCAGGUAGUCCCUGAGCGGGCUGGCAAGGCGCAU
rnacentral:rRNA from 1 species